rnacentral:tRNA from 1 species
GCCCCGGUGGUCCAAUGAACAAGACAAUGGAUUCCGGUUCCAUUAAUGCAGGUUUGAUUCCUGUCCGGGGUACCA